GAAAUGCCUUCUACCAGAUGUUAGAUGUUGUUCUUCAGUAUCGACUGGUCCUCCAGGGUUCCUUUACGCAGAUGGAGAAUGGAUACUCAAUUCUUCCCAAGCACGGCAGUGCUAUGACUAGUUCAACUCACGUGUUUGCAAACAGGGAUCAAAGACACAACACCUCAAAGAAGAGUUGCUGAAGUUUUUCACCGGGAGGUGUUACUGAGCCAUCCUGUCUGCACUGAAGGUCAGCACUCUGUCCUCUGAGCCCUCUGCUGUGGUGACACCUGGGUGAUCACUGGGACCCCGUCUUGUUUCUUGAAAUCAGCAGCAGAAGCAAAGGAGCAGCUACUUUGAUUAGUUCGGAGCGGAAUAAAAGACCUAUAAAUGGGGAGAAUCCUGGAGAUGUCCUGGGAGAGGGGAGCUGGUGCCCUUAGAAUAGCUGCAUGGAUGAAACAGAGGAUGAAAAAGCUUGAACGCAAAUGCCCCGAUAAUAAACACAAGUGUGUUUAUUGCCAUGCAUUAAAGUGGGACUCCUGCAAUUACAAUAAGAUGCUGCCAAAGAAGAAUGAUCUGUGGAAUACAAGUGAAUCCAGUGCUGACGAGCAUCCCGAAGUCCCACAGGAGGUUAGAAAGAGCACAACUCGCAUUCUGCUUUUUAUCUCUGCUGGGGUUAUGCCGUGCAACUGGGAGAGGACGACGGCAGGAGAAACGAGGGCUGACAGAGGGCUUCUCUCUGCUGUAGGGUCCUUGCUGCUCAUUGAUUGCUUGUGCGGCUGCAUCCCAUUUGGAGGGCAGCAGUCUCCAGUACAAGAGUUUGCGUAUCACCGUGCGGUAAUUAUUUCUACUCCUCUCCUCCUUUUUCCUAAUUGAUUAUUGGUUCUCCCCACAAGAAGAAGUGAAAUAAACAGGCAAAGGCAACAUUUGUCUUCA
rnacentral:lncRNA from 1 species